GGAGGGGCGGGGCGGGGGCGCACCUGUUUGGCCAAUCGACCCCGCUACUACCACCCGCCCCGGCCGGACUGGGCAGGGCCGAUCCCCUCCGCUCUCCGCACACCAGUCCCCAGUCCCCACUUUGGCCCGGGAUCGAGGCCGGGCCACACGCCCCCUGCCAUCCCACACCACCUCGCACCCGCGAUCUGGGUCUGGCCACACCCCCUACUCCCCUCCCCCGGCUCAGGCUAGCCUGUGGAGGCCCUCUGUGUGGCCGGUGUUCCCGGGAAUUAAUCCCAGCUUUAGCCCGAGAACCAUGCGGAUAUCAGACUGAGGAGUGGGCUGCAACCCACCCCUCUUUUACUCUUCACCCUCCUCUCCCGCAAGGAUCUUCGCGCCUCGGUUGACCCCUUAAACUGCUGUGCGCCUCCCUUCGAUCUCCACCCGCAGUGGCCGUGGACUGAUGCUAGGUUCAGAGGUCCGGGAGAGGCGGGGUGGGGUCGGGGUAGGGAGGGGGUUGUGUCAAUGGGAAGGGACGUCCAACCCUCCCACCAACAAAUUCUCAACCCCAGCAGAGUUGGGGCGAACAUCUCCAGAAUGUGCUUGCGAUUAGUUUCAGCAGGUUCCCCAACUUCCUUCGGGGUCACAGUCAAAUUUAAAGCGGGACGGUUUUAUUGUCCCAUUCUCCAGAUAGGAAGACUGAGGCCAAAGGGAGGGAAGAACUUUUCGUACGUGGUGACGAGACUGCGACUUUUUUCAAAUCAAAGCAUCCUCUGGGGCAAGAAGGGGGGCUCCUCCCCUCUUCCACCUGCCCAGCUGGAGAAGCUCAGAGGCCCAGAAGGGCUGAGGACCAGGGCCAGGAUACCCGAGAGGCAGCCCAGAGUAAUGGGCAGAAGCACAGGCAUCUAGGAGGCCUGGGUUUGAAUUGUGCGUACUUCCACUAACUUGUGGCCUUGGGCUCUUCAAAACCUCAAUUGCCACAUCUGAGCAAUGGGGCUAUUCCUUCCUGUGUGAGGAGCCAGUGAUUGCAUGUGGACUCUUAGCACAGAGCUGGACACGUAGCCAGAGCUCAGGAAGUGGGAUCCCCACUCUGCCUCUCUGGCCUGACUCCUUCACCUGGGAAAGGAC
rnacentral:lncRNA from 1 species